rnacentral:rRNA from 1 species
UUGAUCCUGGCUCAGAAUCAACGCUGGCGGCGUGCCUAACACAUGCAAGUCGAACGCGAAAAGGGCUUCGGCUCUGAGUAGAGUGGCGAACGGGUGAGUUACACGUGGGUGACCUACCUUCGAAUGGGGGAUAACGUCCCGAAAGGGACUCUAAUACCGCAUGACAUCCUGCUUUUGAACAGGUGGAGAUCAAAGCCGGUGAUCGCAAGACCUGGCGUUUGAAGAGGGGCCCGCGUCUGAUUAGCUAGUUGGUGAGGUAACGGCCCACCAAGGCAACGAUCAGUAUCCGGCCUGAGAGGUCGGACGGACACACUGGGACUGAGACACGGCCCAGACUCCUACGGGAGGCUGCAGUGGGGAAUUGUUCGCAAUGGGCGCAAGCCUGACGACGCAACGCCGUGUGGAGGAUGAAGGUCUUCGGAUUGUAAACUCCUGUUGCUCGGGACGAAUAGCUUCGACCUAACACGUCGAAGUCUGACGGUACCGGGUGAGGAAGCCCUGGCUAACUCUGUGCCAGCAGCCGCGGUAAUAAGGU